rnacentral:rRNA from 1 species
AGUGAACGCUGGCGGUAGGCCUAACACAUGCAAGUCGAACGGCAGCACAGAGGAGCUUGCUCCUUGGGUGGCGAGUGGCGGACGGGUGAGGAAUACAUCGGAAUCUACUCUGUCGUGGGGGAUAACGUAGGGAAACUUACGCUAAUACCGCAUACGACCUACGGUGAAAGCAGGGGCUCUUCGGACCUUGAGCGAUUGAAUGAGCCGAUGUCGGAUUAGCGAGUUGGCGGGGUAAAGGCGCACCAAGGCGACGAGCCGUAGCUGGGCUGAGAGGAUGAUCAGCCACACUGGAACUGAGACACGGUCCAGACUCCUACGGGAGGCAGCAGUGGGGAAUAUUGGACAAUGGGCGCAAGCCUGAUCCAGCCAUACCGCGUGGGUGAAGAAGGCCUUCGGGUUGUAAAGCCCUUUUGUUGGGAAAGAAAUCCAUCUGGUUAAUACCCGGAUGGGAUGACGGUACCCAAAGAAUAAGCACCGGCUAACUUCGUGCCAGCCGCCGCAGUAA